UGAGGUAGGCUCAGUAGAUGCGA
rnacentral:miRNA from 3 species